CCUACGGGUGGCAGCAGUGGGGGAUAUUGCACAAUGGAGGGAACUCUGAUGCAGCGACGCCGCGUGAGGGAAGAAGGUUUUCGGAUUGUAAACCUCUGUCUUCGGUGACGAAACGAGACGGUAGACGAGGAGGAUGCCACGGCAAACUACGUGCCAGCAGCCGCGGUAAUACGUAGGUGGCAAGGGUUGUCCGGAAUUACUGGGUUAAAAGGGUGCGUAGGCGGAUCGUAAAGUAAGUGGUCAAAUUGAGGGGCUCAACCCCUUACCGCCAUUGAAACUGGCGCUCUUGAGUGGAAGAGAAGUAAGCGGAAUGCGUGGUGUAGCGGUGAAAUGCAUAGAUAUCACGCAGAACCCCAGUUGCGAAGGCAGCAUGCCGGCUUCCGACUGACGCUGAGGCACGAAAGCGUGGGGAUCGAACAGGAUUAGAUACCCGAGUAGUC
rnacentral:rRNA from 1 species